CAGAAUGUUUUCGACGCUUUAAGCACCGCAAAAAGUGCAGUCCACUACUCAUAUAAGCAUACUAUACUCCACUUUGCAGUUUGCAGCUGCUAUUUAUUCGCAAGACCAGCAACAUAUAUAUCUUUGAUCUCCUCUACGGUACACAGCAGAUUCAUCCGAACUAGAAGAACCGAAGCCGCCGGCCAGUGAUCAACAUGAGUGACCGCAGGUACGGGUACUCGUACCCACAGAACCAAGGGUAUGGGUACUACAACGGACCGCCGGUGAUGGCGCCGCCGCAGUACGCCCCGCCGCCGAGACGGCAGCCGGGGUUCCUCGAAGGAUGCCUUGCUGCUCUGUGCUGCUGCUGCCUGGUCGACGAGUGCUGCUGCGACCCAUCUGUCAUAUUUGUGACCUGAUCGAUCCAUCGAUACACACGUACGUGCGUCCCCGGAUGCUCUGAUGAACAAUAAUCCGGCGACCCCAGCUAUAUGUUGGUGCGUGCUCGUGUGUGUGCUACACACAUAUAUAUGUUGUAUCCUAUACUCCAGAUCACAGUAGCAAUAUUGGGUACAGGUCCCCAGGACGAGACAGACGCUCAUCAGCCCAGGGGAAACUGAUGCGCCGCCGUGCCGAACACGUUCUUCUUGGCUUCUUGUGCUACACACAUAUGCUGUGCGCCCGUUGUAGCUUCUUAUUAUGCAUGCAUGUAUGUACGUAUGUAUAAUCUAAGUGUACGAAUAAGAUCGUGCGAAAAGAAGUGGGCACUAGUAUACAGUUCCGGCCUCUA